AUUGAACGCUGGCGGCAGGCUUAACACAUGCAAGUCGAGCGGGGGAGGUUGCUUCGGUAACUGACCUAGCGGCGGACGGGUGAGUAAUGCUUAGGAAUCUGCCUAUUAGUGGGGGACAACAUUCCGAAAGGAAUGCUAAUACCGCAUACGCCCUACGGGGGAAAGCAGGGGAUCUUCGGACCUCGCGCUAAUAGAUGAGCCUAAGUCGGAUUAGCUAGUUGGUGGGGUAAAGGCCUACCAAGGCGACGAUCUGUAGCGGGUCUGAGAGGAUGAUCCGCCACACUGGGACUGAGACACGGCCCAGACUCCUACGGGAGGCAGCAGUGGGGAAUAUUGGACAAUGGGGGGAACCCUGAUCCAGCCAUGCCGCGUGUGUGAAGAAGGCCUUUUGGUUGUAAAGCACUUUAAGCGAGGAGGAGGCUACCGAGACUAAUACUCUUGGAUAGUGGACGUUACUCGCAGAAUAAGCACCGGCUAACUCUGUGCCAGCCGCCGCCGUAAUAC
rnacentral:rRNA from 1 species